rnacentral:tRNA from 1 species
GGAGAGAUAGCGAAGAGGCUAAACGCGGCGGACUGUAAAUCCGCCCUCAUGCGUUGGUUCGAAUCCAGCUACCCCA